rnacentral:tRNA from 1 species
GGGCGCGUAGCUCAGGGGGAGAGCGCUGCACUCACAUUGCAGAGGUCGCUGGUUCGAUACCAGCCGUGCCCACCA